rnacentral:rRNA from 1 species
UACAGAGGGUGCGAGCGUUGUUCGGAAUUACUGGGCGUAAAGCGCACGUAGGCGGAUUUGUCAGUCAGGGGUGAAAUCCCGGGGCUCAACCUCGGAACUGCCUUUGAUACAGCAAGUCUUGAGUUCGAGAGAGGUGGGUGGAAUUCCUAGUGUAGAGGUGAAAUUCGUAGAUAUUAGGAAGAACACCGGUGGCGAAGGCGGCCCACUGGCUCGAUACUGACGCUGAGGUGCGAAAGCGUGGGGAGCAAACAGG